rnacentral:rRNA from 1 species
CUACGGGCGGCUGCAGUGGGGAAUAUUGCACAAUGGGCGCAAGCCUGAUGCAGCAACGCCGCGUGGGGGACGAAGGCCUUCGGGUUGUAAACCUCUUUUAGUAGGGAAGAAGCGCAAGUGACGGUACCUACAGAAAAAGCACCGGCUAACUACGUGCCAGCAGCCGCGGUAAUACGUAGGGUGCAAGCGUUGUCCGGAAUUAUUGGGCGUAAAGAGCUCGUAGGCGGUUUGUCGCGUCUGCUGUGAAAAUCCGAGGCUCAACCUCGGACCUGCAGUGGGUACGGGCAAACUAGAGUGCGGUAGGGGAGAUUGGAAUUCCUGGUGUAGCGGUGGAAUGCGCAGAUAUCAGGAGGAACACCAAUGGCGAAGGCAGAUCUCUGGGCCGUAACUGACGCUGAGGAGCGAAGGCGUGGGGAGCGAACAGGAUUAGAUACCCUUGUAGUC